UUGACUUGAGCUGAGGGCUUCAUGGACAUAGUUUUAAAUGGUAGAAAGAAAAUCAGAAUCCUAUCCAUAAGGUAGUAUCUCUGUGAUGUCUCAGUUAAGCAAGGAAAGCCAACAGCUUCUGGGGCAGAGAAAUCAGUGAUUCAUGGGUGAGCAAGAUGGCGGAUUGGCUCAUACUCGUUUGCUAAGGCUGCAAGGUCUGCUGAAGGGCUAACACUACUAAGAAGAUGCAAUUAUGGUAGAAGAAAAGGAGUGGGCAUCUGGCCACAUAUUCUCACACUGGGUAGAUGAUGUAUCCCUUACUAAAAGGCAGGUUAGAGCACCCACCUACUAUUUUAUUCUUCUGGCAAUUAAAUCCUAACUUCGAUGAACUCAUAAAUGGCCUUGGGCAACCUCAGUGCUGUUACAUUUUGCUUAAUCCUCAUUAUUUCUCAUGUUUUCAGUAGAGAUAUUUGAAGGUGGUCAAGGGGUUAGUGGGCUCUAAAUGGAGUGAAUCAGAGCAUUAACAUCUAAUUAAAAAAAAAGAGAGAGAAGCCAAAAUAAGCAGAUAUGUGAACUGAGACUAGAAAUUUGAGUGAUCAUCCCCUACUAAUUUUAGCACCUGGUUUCACAUUAGUAUGUUGGGGACAAAAGGCUUCCCUUUCAGUGUUGUGAAAAUCAAUAGGGUAUUUAGUAUCCAACCAUAGCCUGCUAGGAAAAUGAGGACUGACUACACUUGCGUUUCUUUCUUGGCAAUGCCCUGUUUUAGCCAGGUUAGCUUGCACUACUGGGCAACAUCAGUCCACCUUGUGCUGCAUCAAUCCACAUUCUCCCACCAGUUUGCAAAUGCCCUGAGUCUAGAAGCCACAUUGAAGAUAAUGUGUGUGCGCCCAGGACAGUGCUGCUUCCAAAUGGGCAUAUUCUUCAGGUAUGGAAAAUAUUACAUUGAGAAUCUUACUCUCCCCGAAAACUGUGGCAUAUUCUUACCUGUGACACUUGGGUGAGGGUCUAGAAGUGUAAACAGGGCUCCAGAAAGUCACAAAACAGCAGCCCGGACGCUCUGAGGAACCGACUGGAAGUCAGAAGGGCUUCUGACAAGGCGCAGGCUGUUAAGAGGGAAUGAUCCGCCUAUAAAUGGUGUGGAUAAGAUAAGCACAGACUUGUUUACCAGAUCCUGAAAUAUAGCGGCGCCUUGGAACCACGAGAGGGGCAAGUUGAAGACAAGUCAGCGGAAAUACUAUACCACAUAGCAGAGAGAGACACAGCGAGAGAGGAAACACAAGCAGGGGGAGCGGGAGAGGGAGAAGCAGGCUUCCCACGGAGCAGGGAGCAUGAUGCGGAGCUCAAUCCCAGGACCCUGGGAUCACGACCUGAGCCGAAGCCAGACGCUUAACCAUCCGAGCCAGCCAGGCGCCCUUAUCUCCCUUCUUAUAAUGUAGAACUGUUAUUAAUAGUUAUCUUCCAAGCUAGAAGGGAUCUCCACUUGCUUGACCACCUACAUCACUUGGUUUAUACCACACAUGUGGAGCUUGUCACCUGAUUUGCAGACAGUGUCCUGGAGUGACACUUUCUCCUCGAAGAUCUAACAGCUGAAGGCAGGACUGUGUUGGAUGCAUCUUUGACUCAUCUGGAGCCACUGUGAUGCCUAGAACUGUGGCAGCAUCUUGAAAGAGUGUGGGGAUGACAUUUGACACAAUGAGGGUAAUAGAGAAGAGAAAUGAAAAGAACCUGGGUCCUUGAUGAUGUCACUGAGCCACUGAAUCAACAAAACCCAGGGCUGCUCUUCCUUUGGAUUUUUAGCUCAACUUUUUUUUAUUUGCAGUCAAAAGCACCCCAGUGGAUAGAGAGAGACUAAGAGUAGCUCAGUCCAAACUGGCAUCAAAUGACAAGGAUUGGAAUCUCAGCUAUAUCAUCAACUAGCUUUGUUACUUUGGGCAAGUCACUUUCUCUACAAGAACCUUAUUCCUUGUAAAAAUGGAGAUAAUAAAAUAACUAUGUCAUUAGGUAUUAAACAGCUCUAAUAAAAA